rnacentral:rRNA from 1 species
AGGACGAACGCUGGCGGCGUGCCUAACACAUGCAAGUCGAGCGAGGAGAUCCUUCGGGAUGAUCCUAGCGGCGGACGGGUGAGUAACACGUGGGCAACCUGCCUCAUAGAGAGGAAUAGCCUUCCGAAAGGAGAUUAAUACCUCAUAACAUUGCAGUUUCGCAUGGAACAGCAAUUAAAGGAGCAAUCCGCUAUGAGAUGGGCCCGCGGCGCAUUAGCUAGUUGGUGAGGUAACGGCUCACCAAGGCGACGAUGCGUAGCCGACCUGAGAGGGUGAUCGGCCACAUUGGGACUGAGACACGGCCCAGACUCCUACGGGAGGCAGCAGUGGGGAAUAUUGCACAAUGGGGGAAACCCUGAUGCAGCCAACGCCGCGUGAGUGAUGACGGCCUUCGGGUUGUAAAGCUCUGUCUUCAGGGACGAUAAUGACGGUACCUGAGGAGGAAGCCACGGCUAACUACGUGCCAGCAGCAGC